CAUGUACAAGAUGUGUGAGAGAUGGAAAAUCCUGCGAAGAGGACGGGGAGGUGGAGAAGGCUGGAUUUAGCCACUGAGUGGACUGAGGAUGAGAGAGCGCGUGCUCCUUACUCUUGGCAUAUCCUUUCCACUGUAAGACCUCAGCUCUGCAAAAUCCUCUGCACAUCUGAAGACCAUCCGACACAGCACCACCUGCCAGAAGCAUUUUCUGAUCCUCCUCUGAACUCCACAGCAGUUUCGAUGUCCUCUUCUCACCCACCUUGCUCUGUGAUGACAUAGUCAAAGUCAUCUUGAUUUGUAUCUUCUGCAAGGAUCAUUAAACAGUGGACAGUCUGCCUUUGAUCUGAAUGUCAUGUGACAUGAUGAUAGAGGAAAUUUCAAGGCCAGCAUCUCUGUCC
rnacentral:lncRNA from 1 species